CCAGUUUUUCAUACUUUUUAUUUUGAAAUUAUUAUAGAUUCACAGGAAGUUGCAAAGAUAGUACAAAGUGGUCCCAAUUUUCUUUGCCAAAUUUCUCUCAAUUUUUUUUUCCAGACAGGUCCUUGCUCUGUUGCCCAGGCUGCUGUGCAGUGGCAUGACCAUAGUUCACUGCAACCUCAAACUCCUGAGCUUCAGCGAUCCUCCCACCUCAGCCUCCCAAGUAGUCCCAUAGUCCCAGCCCCUGAGCUGGGACUACAGGGAGAAGUCUCGGCGGGAGAUUAAGUCUUGAGAUUCAUCAGACCAGAGAUGGUCUGUGAAGCCGCAGAUCAGGAUGACAGCCACUAUGGGAAUGAACAAAGAUGAAGACCGGAGACCCCAAGACAGACCUCCGGGGCAGCCAUCACUGAGAGAGGGCGGAGGAGGAGGGGGAAGUGAAGGCUCCUGAGGAGAAGGCCAUGUGGAGGAGGGAAACCAGGGGAAGGUGGAGUCGGAGACAUUGGAAGAACAGGUAAGGAGGCCAUGGCCAAGCGUGUCAAAUGCCACUGAGAGAUAGGCAGGGGAAGGGACCUUUGGCCUUGGUGACAUGUAGGUCACUGAUGAUCUGGACUAGAGUCAUCUCCUGUAACGGUGGGGACAAACGGCUGCUUGGAGCAGCACAGAAUGAAAGUGGGGAGGGGGGAGGUGGAACAGCAGAUGCCAGAAGGGCUGGGGGCCUCCAGGGAGAGUUUCUAAAGGAGGAAGGGUGGGCAUGUUAUAAGCGGAUGAUAAUGAUCCGGGAAGGGGAGAAAGGCUCUGCAGAGACAACUGCAGGGCCAGGCCCUAAGGAGCAGGAGGGCUGGGGCCCAGUGCAGGCUGGAGGAGCACGAUGCAGCUUCCACUGUGCUCUGGCGGGGGAAGGGGGCACGCGUGGAUACUGGGUGGCAAGUGUGGGGCAUGGAGGUGAGGUGUGCUGGUGUGGGUGCAUCCUUUCUUUCUCUGAAGCGUGUGGUGGCAUUGCCAGCUGAAAUUGAGGUUGGGGGUGUGGGAGAUUUGAAAUGAGUCAUUUCAAGAGCGGGGAAGUGAAGCUGUGAAAGCACAUUGGAGGAACCGAGGGCCUGCGCGAAACGUGUGGUUUUGAUUUGGAAAUGAGUCUAGUCACACAGGGGUGCUGGUUCUUGAGCCAUAGUUGGAUCCAACUGGAGUUUGGAGUUUGGAGUUUCUCUGGGUGAGCACAGUGAAUGGGGAAAAGGGGUAAAGGAUGCAGGGUAGUGACUGUAAGGAUGGUUUAAGGACAUGGUGAUGGCGCUGCCAACAGGCAAAGACUGCUGGUUCAGAGGGCUGGGUGGGCUCAGAGAAUUGCUGGCAUGGUGUGGUGGUGACAUAGGACCUACCUGAGCUGGAAGUACAGGAGGUGAUGUUCAGAGUGGGAGGCUUGAGGUGAUCAGAGCUGACAAGAUAAGGUAUGUCCACUUGAGACUGUGGCCAAGGUAGAGUGGAGGAAAGCCUGUUGGUGUUAAGGAGCUUCUCUGAAUAUUCUUACUUGGCCCUUCCCAACUUUGUUUUUUGUUUGUUUGUUUAUUUGUUUUGAGACGGAGUCUCGCUCUGUCACCCAGGCUGGAGUACAGUGGCGUGAUCUCAGCUCACUGCAACCUCCGCCACCCAGGUUCAAGCGAUUCUCGUGCCUUACCCUCCCAAGUAGCUGGGAUUACAGGUGCCCACCACCACGCCCAGCUAAUUUUUGUGCUUUUAGUAGACAGGAUUUCACCAUGUUGGCCAGGCUGGUCUCGAAUUCCUGACCUCAAGUGAUUUACCCACCUCAGCCUCUCAAAGUGCUGGGAUUACAGGCAUGAGCUACCGUGUUGGGCCCCUUCCCAACUUUGGAUUCAGAGCUACGUCCUACCAGAGCCAGAAGGGGCCACGCUCUUCACUGUACAGAUGGGCACACCAACGCCUGGAGAUGUUGGAUGCAGAAGGCGAAAUGUCAGAAGCUGGAGUCCUGCAUCUCAGCUGGAAGGUGAGGGCUGAUAAUUUAUCAGUUGCCAUUGAUCAAAGUUCACAAGGCAAAUCUUCAUAAACUUCUAAAGCUGCCUACAGUUUCCCGUAAACAAAUCUCUAAAUUUACAAAAGCAAUGCUUGCUGAUUGUAAAAAACACACAGUGCCAAAGCAUACAAAGGAAGAAGACCCGCUUGCAAUUUGCUACCUACAUCCCACUCUUGGGGCCAACAACUAUUGGAAGUGUGGUGAGUGAUUGACUUACAUCCUUCUAGAUCUUAUCUACAUAUUUGCAAAGAAAAAAUAUACAUAUAUAAAAUAAAAUAUGUGUGGGUUAUAUCCUUACAAACUGAGAUCAUAGGCAGUUCCGCAACUUGCCUUUUCUCUGUAACAAUAAGUGAUGGAUGCUUUGCAGGGUUGGUGCUACAGAUCCUAUUUAUUCUUUUAAAAGGCUGCAUAGGGAGCUCUGGUGGCACAAUGAAUUAGUG
rnacentral:lncRNA from 10 species